rnacentral:snRNA from 1 species
GCACUUACCUGGACGGGGUCAAUGGGUGAUCAAGAAGACCCAUGGCCUGGAUUAGUGGCCUCCAUUGCACUUGGGAGGAGCACUGGUGCACCAUCCCCUCCAGUAGGAGAAUGGACGUCAUAAUUUGUGAUAGAUGUGAUAGAGGGGGUACGCGUUCGCGCGGCCCCUGC